CCCCUUUCACAGUGUAGUUGAAUUGUAGGACAGAGGCCAACUUGUGGAAGAAAGAAAAAAACAAUGCUAAAUAAUCCCUGUCUUCGCUGAGAAACAGGAUCCUAUUCUCAUGCUAUUUGGAUUUGGAAAAUCAUCAAGCGGUUGGAAUGACUAAUUGGAGGCUACAGUCCAGAAAAUAUUGUACAAAUUUUCCCUUAAAAAUGGAAGAUAGAAAGUGUUUCCUUUUCACACUGUGUCCCUUUUCAAGUGGCCUGUGCUGUUAUGAAGUUCGAUAACCACUUCAUUUGCAUGAUUCAGAUGCUAGAGUCACUGGAUAUAAUCAUUUAAACUAUGAGUGAUGGGGCCCCGACUUCCCUAACUAGACAAUAGUGCUAUUUGAACUGGCAGUUAAUCAGUUUAAAAGUGACUUAUCGGUAACGUACAAUAUGACUAAUUUAGCAGCUAAGCAGUUUCAUUGUGAUCUUGGUGUCAGUGGAAUUCCUGUCACCUAUCCAACAGUUAAGUCAUAUUGCAUAAUUGUUGGGUGACAUCACUGGGCUGCAAGAUCAUUGGCUGAAGAAAUGAAAAAAAAGUUUCCUGGAGUGUCAGCCUUUCCGGCAUCUGAGCGAAUGACUUGUACUGUGACUGCAGUGCAGCCGGAGAGCAAAGUAAAAAUGCGGGUUGAAGUGGCUGGCUUUUGGUGUGUCAUUGAAAAUCACAGUCUGUAGAUUCGCCAACACGCCUAAUGAUGAGGUCUCUUCCCUUUAUGUGGGACUUCACGAUGCCAGUCAUUAAGAUCCCCCGCACGUAGAAGUUGGCCACCAUGCAUGAAGACACUUGAGCGCUCUAUGGUGGCUGCAUUAACUUGUAAGGUGUCUGAGUGAGCUACCAUAGAAGUGAAUCCUCUGGCCCCAGGGAAGCCUUCAGACUGCAGCCCUGGCAAAUACCUUGACUGCAUCCUCGUAAGAAAUCCUGAGCCUGAACCACCCAGCUAAGGCACUCCUGGAUUCCUGACCUACACUGAUGAGUGUGAAAGGAGACACCAGCUGUUGUGUUGUGAGGACAGUCAGGCAGCCCUGUGAAUCAUCGUGUGGUAAGGUAGUGAGGCUCCCUGCCAACAGCCAUAUGAACGAGCCAUCUUGAGGCAGAUCCUCCAGUGCCACAGAAGCCUUCAGAUGACUGCAGCCUCUGCCAGACAGCUUGACUGCAACCUCGACAGACACUCUGAGCCAGAACCAGUCAGCUAAGUCAUGACCAGAUUCCUAAGCCACGGGAACUGUGUGAGAUAAUAAAGGUUUGUUGGGUUAGGCUGCUAAGUUUUGGAGUAAUUUGUUAUACAGCAGUAGAUAAUGAAUACAAGGGUCCUUCCAAACCUGAGAUUCAUUGAUUUUCUGAUUCUCAUAUCACACUCAUAAUGUCUACCAUGUGAAAUACUCUUUCUGGGAGUCUUGGGAAGCUUUAAGUCUCCUUGGUUGCCUGCAUAGCUCAUGCAUUAAUUUAUACAUAUAUCAUAUAUGCAUAUAUACAUGUAGUUAAUGCAUUUUUUCUAAACACUACUUAUUUAUCUAUUUUUUUUAAGAUUUUAUUUAUUCAUGAGAGACACAGAGAGAGAGGCAGAGAC